rnacentral:miRNA from 1 species
CACCUUAACUCGUACCUGUUAG